GUGCUUACUUUGGCAGCAUAUAUACUGAAACUGGAACACACAGAGAAGAUUAGCUUGGCCUCUGAAUAAGGAUGGCAUGCAGAUUUAUGAAGUGUUCCAUUUUUUU